rnacentral:rRNA from 1 species
ACGGAAGGCAGCAGUGGGGAAUAUUGCACAAUGGGGGAAACCCUGAUGCAGCGACGCCGCGUGAGUGAAGAAGUAUUUCGGUAUGUAAAGCUCUAUCAGCAGGAAAGAAAAUGACGGUACCUGACUAAGAAGCCCCGGCUAACUACGUGCCAGCAGCCGCGGUAAUACGUAGGGGGCAAGCGUUAUCCGGAUUUACUGGGUGUAAAGGGAGCGUAGACGGUUUGGCAAGUCUGAAGUGAAAUGCGGGGGCUCAACUCCUGAACUGCUUUGGAAACUGUCUAUCUUGAGUAUCGGAGAGGCAAGCGGAAUUCCUAGUGUAGCGGUGAAAUGCGUAGAUAUUAGGAGGAACACCAGUGGCGAAGGCGGCUUGCUGGACGACAACUGACGCUGAGGCGCGAAAGCGUGGGGAGCAAACAGGAUUAGAUACCCUGGUA